AGUGAACGCUGGCGGUAGGCCUAACACAUGCAAGUCGAACGGCAGCACAGUAAGAGCUUGCUCUUACGGGUGGCGAGUGGCGGACGGGUGAGGAAUACAUCGGAAUCUACUUUUUCGUGGGGGAUAUCGUAGGGAAACUUACGCUAAUACCGCAUACGACCUACGGGUGAAAGCAGGAGAUCUUCGGACCUUGCGCGUUUGAAUGAGCCGAUGUCGGAUUAGCUAGUUGGCGGGGUAAAGGCCCACCAAGGCGACGAUCCGUAGCUGAUCUGAGAGGAUGAUCGGCCACACUGGAACUGAGACACGGUCCAGACUCCUACGGGAGGCAGCAGUGGGGAAUAUUGGACAAUGGGCGCAAGCCUGACCCAGCCAUACCGCGUGGGUGAAGAAGGCCUUCGGGUUGUAAAGCCCUUUUGUUGGGAAAGAAAAGCAGCAGAUUAAUACCCCGCUGUUCUGACGGUACCCAAAGAAUAAGCACCGGCUAACUUCGUG
rnacentral:rRNA from 1 species